GAUGAACGCUAGCGGCAGGCUUAAUACAUGCAAGUCGAGGGGCAUCGCAGGGUAGCAAUACCUGGGCGGCGACCGGCAAACGGGUGCGGAACACGUACAGAACCUUCCUUCAAGCGGGGAAUAGCCCAGAGAAAUUUGGAUUAAUACCCCAUAGGAUUACUGGAUGGCAUCAUUUAGUAAUUAAAGAUUUAUCACUUGAAGAUGGCUGUGCGUCUGAUUAGGUAGUUGGCGGGGUAACGGCCCACCAAGCCUGCGAUCAGUAACUGGUGUGAGAGCACGACCAGUCACACGGGCACUGAGACACGGGCCCGACUCCUACGGGAGGCAGCAGUAAGGAAUAUUGGUCAAUGGACGCAAGUCUGAACCAGCCAUGCCGCGUGAAGGAUGAAGGUCCUCUGGAUUGUAAACUUCUUUUAUCUGGGGCGAAACCCUACUAUUCUUAGUAGUUUGACGGUACCAGAUGAAUAAGCACCGGCUAACUCCGUGCCAGCCGCCGCCGUAACAC
rnacentral:rRNA from 1 species